rnacentral:rRNA from 1 species
CCUACGGGGGGCUGCAGUGAGGAAUAUUGGUCAAUGGGCGCGAGCCUGAACCAGCCAAGUCGCGUGAGGGAAGACGGCCCUACGGGUUGUAAACCUCUUUUGCCGGGGAGCAACGGGCGCCACGUGUGGCGCCACUGAGAGUACCCGGAGAAAAAACAUCGGCUAACUCCGUGCCAGCAGCCGCGGGAAGACGGAGGAUGCGAGCGUUAUCCGGAUUUUUUGGGUUUAAAGGGGGCGUAGGCGGAGCUGUAAGUCAGUGGUCAAAUUGAGGGGCUCAACCCCUUCCCGCCAUUGAAACUGGCGCUCUUGAGUGGAAGAGAAGUAUGCGGAAUGCGUGGUGUAGCGGUGAAAUGCAUAGAUAUCACGCAGAACCCAGAUUGCGAAGGCAGCAUGCCGGCUUCCUACUGACGCUGAAGCACGAAAGCGUGGGGAUCGAACAGGAUUAGAUACCCCAGUAGUC